rnacentral:rRNA from 1 species
UACGAGGGGGGCAAGCGUUGUUCGGAUUUAUUGGGCGUAAAGGGUGCGUAGGCGGUUUGGCAAGUCUUGUGUGAAAUCUUUGGGCUCAACCCGAAGCCUGCACAAGAAACUGCCGGGCUUGAGUAUGGGAGAGGUGAGUGGAAUUUCCGGUGUAGCGGUGAAAUGCGUAGAUAUCGGAAAGAACACCAACGGCGAAAGCGCUCUGCUGGGCCGACGCUGACACUGAGAGACGAAAGCUAGGGGAGCGAAUGGG